rnacentral:lncRNA from 1 species
AGAGGCGCCCAGGCUAGAAGGGCCCGGCUCUUGGCCCUCGCUGUCCUGCCCGCUGUCGCCGCUCUUUGGCGCCCCCGCAACAGCUCCCUCUCAGCAGGACGCGGAAAGGGCUUGUAUGUGUCCAGGAAGUCUAGUGAAUUCGACCAUGAAUCCAGACAUGGCCAGUGGCUAAAUCCUGUGGGAAGACACUGUGCUUCUCUCUGACCCAUGAACACUCUGCUAGUCAAGCUCUCUGUCACAAAGACAACUUGAAGAGACAGAGUGGACCUCACAGAAGAUACCAUCGUCACUCUUACCAAUGCAACUGUGGUGAACAGGACCACUAUUAUUCCUUAGAUCAAAAGGACAGCACAUUCAACAGCAUCCUCAUGGCAUGCCAGCAAUUUGCAUAGGAUGUUCACAAUUAAACUUUGAUUAUCUAGUGCUUUGUGGAUGUAUUAUGUAUUACAGAAAUCUAUUUGCAACAUGGAGGCACAUUUUCUCUUUUGUUUGUUCACUUGUUUAUCUGAAAAUCAACAAAUGGUUAUAGAAUGCCUACUAUGUGCCAGGGACUUCUGGUCACAGCCUCAAACAAAAGAGAUUCUUCUGUAUUCUAUUCUUCUGUAGCUUACCAUAAAUAAGAGC